CCACCAGGGGCUGCUAAGAGGGAGUUUCGCAAGGAAGUUCUCCAGGUGAAGGAGGAGCAAUACAGCACCCUUUUGGGGUAAGUGACUGUCUGUAGUGUGUGUUUGUUUGUGUUUGAGGGUUACUUGCUGUGUGCUGAGCUUGUGUUUGUCAGUCUGUU